rnacentral:rRNA from 1 species
GUGACACAGGGAGGUAGUGACAAGAAAUAACAAUACGGGGCUUAAAGUCUUGUAAUUGGAAUGAUGGGAAUUUAAACCUCUUCCAGAGUAUCAAUUGGAGGGCAAGUCUGGUGCCAGCAGCCGCGGUAAUUCCAGCUCCAAUAGCGUAUAUUAAAAUUGUUGCAGUUAAAAAGCUCGUAGUUGAAUUUCUGGUGCAUUGCUUGUGUCCCUCUGGGGUCUGUGCAUGUGGCUUUUUUCGGACGGAGUUUCUUUGUCUGAAUGUUUACUUUGAGAAAAUUAGAGUGCCCAAAGCGGGCUUUCACCGUGAAUAGUUUAGCAGGGAAUAAUAAAGUAG